rnacentral:lncRNA from 1 species
AGAUGUUGUUGCCGCCUUUGUGUCUGUCGGGAUUGUCUCUUGUAUCUCCUGUUGUGGAUGUGUUUGUUUAUCUUUUAUUUGAUGGGUAAUAUGUAAACAAAAAUCAAUGUUAGUUGUAUUUAUCAGAGUUCAUAACUUACUCUGCUUUUUUUGUUUAGGUAAUUUCACAGAUCUUGGUUGUCAUCUUCGUCUUCUUCAUUGCAAAAGUAAGUUUGUAAAUUGUUAAUUAGCUGAGCGUGUAGUUUAUAUUUGUUUAGCUGACUCGAUGUAUGUGUCGUUAAGUUUGUAAAUUGUUAAAUAGCUGGCUGUGUAGUUUGUAUAUGUUUAGCUGACUCAAUGUAUGUGUUGUUGAGUUUUAGUUUAGGUGAUUGGUUUGGUAUAUUUCUUUUGAAGUUUAUUUCUAAGAUUAAACAAAAAAGAGAGAUGAUCAUUAAUGAUUCGUCUUUUUUGGAAUUAUAGUUUUUGGUGUUUUGAUUGUUUGGGUUGUUGUGGCUUCUUUUAACCUGUAAAAUAAAGGUUUGUGUAAAAUUAGUUUGAUAAGUAAGGGAGAUAAAUAGACGACCACAUAAUUUGGGUAGGAAAUAUUUUUGAUUAUUGAUUUUAGCACAAUAUAGAUAAUAAUAUAAAGGAAAUUGUGUGUUGAUUGUUUCUUACAAAUCAAUGAGGAGACGGAUAACGACUCGAGUUGUUUCUUUGCUAAGGUCAGAGCUUUGGACGGAACGGAUUUUCCUAACCAUCUGCGAGUUUAAAUAUCAGUUAUGAUAACGAAACAUAUUAUAAACC